rnacentral:lncRNA from 10 species
GAGCAAAAAGAACCAAUCCAGAUGCAUCACGUUGCCUGACUUCAUCUUGCACCAGUCAGAAUGACUAUUAAAAUGUCAAAAAAAAAAAAAAAACACCAGAUGUUGGCAUGGAUGUGGAGAAAAGGGAAUGCUUAUGCCCUUUGCUGGGAAUGUAAAUUAGUUCAACCUCUACGGAAAACAGUAUGGAGAUUUCUCAAAGACCUAAAAAUAGAGCUACCAUCCUACCCAGCAAUCCCACUUCUGGGCAUCUACCCAAAGGAAAAGAAAUCAUUAUACAAAAAAGACACCCAUACUUGUAUGUUUAUCAAAGCACCACUCACAGUAGCAAACUCAUGGAACCAACCUAAGCGUCCAUUAAUGGUUGACUGGAUACAGGAAACGUGGCACAUCCAAACUAUGGAAUAUUAUGCAGCCAUACAAAAGA